rnacentral:rRNA from 1 species
UACGGGGGGAGCAAGCGUUGUUCGGAUUUACUGGGCGUAAAGGGCGCGUAGGCGGUCAGCACAAGUCAGUUGUGAAAUCUCCGGGCUUAACCCGGAAAGGUCAACUGAUACUGUGCGACUAGAGUGCGGAAGGGGCAACUGGAAUUCUCGGUGUAGCGGUGAAAUGCGUAGAUAUCGAGAGGAACACCUGCGGCGAAGGCGGCUCUCUGGGACGGUACUGACGCUGAGACGCGAAAGCGUGGGGAGCGAACAGG